GGAUGGGGAGCCCGUGUUGCCCGGCGUUUUCCCGGGGGGGCGGGGGGCCGGAGCCAGGCGAGAAGGGGCUGGCGUAUCAAAAGACGCCUGAGCUCUUGGAGGGGGUGAAGCCAGUGCCUGGGUCACUGGAGGCCGAGACCCCCAAUGGGCCUGCCCCUGUGGGGGACCCCGAGGUGCGCCUGUCCCUGCGCCGCUGGGCCGUGGUGGUGCUGUUCAGCUGCUACUCGCUCUGCAAUGCCUUCCAGUGGAUCCAGUACGGCAGCAUCAACAACGUCUUCGUGCACUUCUACGGCGUGAGCACCUUCGCCAUCGACUGGCUCUCCAUGUGCUACAUGCUCACCUACAUCCCCCUUCUUUUCCCUGUGGCCUGGCUGCUGGACAAGAGGGGCCUGCGCCUCAUCGCCCUCGCCGGUUCAGCCUUCAACUGCCUAGGCGCCUGGGUGAAGCUGGGCAGCAUGAAGCCGCACCUCUUCCCUGUCACCGUCCUAGGGCAGGUCAUCUGCUCGGUGGCACAGGUCUUCAUUCUGGGCAUGCCCUCGCGCAUCGCCUCUGUCUGGUUCGGGUCCCAUGAGGUCUCUACUGCCUGCUCCAUCGCUGUCUUUGGGAACCAGCUUGGAAUUGCAAUUGGUUUUGUUCUUCCUCCCGUUCUGGUUCCCAACUUGGAGGACACCGAACAGCUGGCCUAUCACAUUAGCAUCAUGUUCUUCAUCACUGCAGCCGUGGCAACUAUGCUUUUCAUCCUCGUCAUCAUUGUGUUCCGGGAGAAGCCCCUGUUUCCCCCAAGCCGGGCCCAGGCCUUGAUCCAGUUGAAACCACCUGAGGAGUAUUCCUACGUGCAUUCCAUCUGCAGGCUGCUCCGCAAUACCAAUUUCGUCCUGUUGAUAGUUGCUUAUGGUUUGAACACUGGUUGCUUCUAUGCCCUGUCCACUCUGCUGAACCGCAUGGUGAUCCAGCACUAUCCAGGGGAGGAGGUGAAUGCUGGAAGAAUUGGACUCACCAUUGUAGUGUCUGGCAUGGCUGGAGCUCUGCUCUCUGGCAUCUGGUUGGAUAAAACCAAAACCUACAAGAAGACGACGCUGGUGGUUUACAUCAUGUCUCUGGGGGGCUUGGUAGCCUAUACCUUCACCCUGAGCCUAGGCCACCUCUGGGUGGUCUUUGUGACUGCAGGCGUGCUGGGAUUCUUCAUGACCGGGUACCUACCGCUGGGUUUUGAGUUUGCGGCAGAGUUAACGUACCCAGAGUCAGAAGGAACGUCUUCAGGCCUCCUUAAUGUAUCGGCACAGGUUUUCGGGAUCAUUUUCACCAUUGCCCAAGGGAAGAUCAUCGAUCGCUUUGGGACGCAGGCGGGAAACCUCUUUCUUUGUUCCUUCCUACUCCUGGGGACUUUCAUAACUGUGUUCAUUAAGGCCGAUCUCCGGAGACAGCAGGCCAAUAUGGAUGGUGAACAGACAAGACUCCAGGACAGCAGUCACAUUGCGGAUUAUGGAAUGUAGCUUGUAGCCUUAACACCAUCACUUCCCAUCCCCGCUCAGUAGCUCUCAUACAAAGAAAGCGCUGGAAGAGGUGCCUGGGGACAGCACUGCUCCUGUGGUCCUUGAUGAAUCAAAGCUGUGAAGGGGAGGGGUGGCAGAGCUGGGAGACACUGCCUACCACACCCCCCCCUUCCCAUCUUUGUCACUUGCAGUAUCCUUCUGGUACCUGCACAGCAUGGCAUUGGGGGCAGCAUCAGGGCCGGAGUCCAGAAAGCUGCUCAUGGAGCCAUCGGAAGGAACAGAUCAGCCAGGGUUCUCUCAUCAGUCUGCUUUCACCUCUGUGUCCUGCUGUGGGAGAACUUAUUGCUCAGCAGGAAAGCUUCUGUGGAGCCAUGAGCCCCAAAUCUGUCUGCUUGGGGCUCAGAGGAGCAGGUUCUGUGACUCCAACACAGCACUCAGUAUUUGGAGCCUAAGGUGGCAUUCCUCAAGUGGCCCUCAUCUCCCCUUCCAAAGAUGUGUACGAUGGGUGGCCAAGUGCAUCCUCUGAAGGAACCUCUUGGUGGAGAGAGAACUAGACAGCACUUGCUUUGUGACCAGCCCUGCUCUGAGUUGUGACUCUUGCUCUGGAAGUGAUGGGUCUGCCCUGUAUUCAUAGUGACUGGAGCAGGUGGUUCACCUGGCCAUAGUGUGAGGAUGCUUCCCCAGGCUCUGCAAAGUGCAUGACAACUGUGGCCAGUUCCCAUUUUUGUACAGGGACCUCCUAGCCCAGAUUUUUAGUCUGUGGACUAAUGUGAUUUUCUAUUUUAAUCAAACUUCCCUGAAAUUUUGUAGAGUAAGAAUUUGUAAGAGGACUGGGGAAACACCAAUCUGUGCCCUGGGCAGAGCUCAACUGUCACUCGCAUCUUUAGAGACCAAGGCCUGGCACUAGGGUAUGUGUGCAAAGUGCACCAGGGCAUAGCCUACCUUAUGCUUGACACCAGCCUUCAGGGCUACUGUGACAACACUACUGAGUUAGACUGUGAGCUCCUUUGGCCAGGGACUACGUCCCCUUCCUUGGCUGGAAAGCACUCUACACAAGCACAAAGUUGGUGCUAUAAAAAUACACAUUUUGUGGGAGCCUUCUGCUGGUACAGACACAAGUUGUGCCCCCACUUCCCCUCCUCUCAUCCAACUAGCUGUGGGAGGCAGGCUAAGGUUGCUCUAGCACAGGGCAUCCCAAACCUUUUUUCAUAAGGAACCACAUCACCUGAGUAGCUUGUGGAUACUCCCCUCCCACUCACCAUCAGCCCCACCAUUUGCUGUUGCCUGCUCCUCCACUCAUGAGCACUGACCUCAUCUCUCUUCCCAGCUGCAGUCUUGUAGUUUGCCUCCCUAUGAUCAAUGCCCCCCUCCUCCAGUGGGUGAGAGCCACCUAGCAAUUCCAGCAGUCAGUCACAUGGAAAAGAUUAGGAAAACAGUGAUAGAUAUUUUGAAGUGUCCUGGAAAAAUUAAUCAUCCUCGCUGCCUUUGCUCUCCAUUUUAUCUCCCCUCCCAUCUGUUUUGUUCCUCUGCCCCUUCCCCCCCAGCUGCACAUUUCCCAGCCACCUAGUCCUCCGGGUCCCCUGUUCCACUCAAUAUAUUUUUGGGCAUCCUAUCUUGCUGCUGGCUGGCAGCUCAGGCCCCUGGUUUGGUGGAAGCAGUUCCUCUUGCCUCUCUUCAGUAGCCAUGGCCUUUAGAAGCAGCAAUUAGGCUGGCACCUCCUCAUGUCCAUCUGCUUCUGCAGGCCUCCAGGUGCCUCUGUUCAAUAAAGAGCCUGGACAUCUGCUGAAGUAGCUGGAAACAAGGAGAGCUGUCAGCACAUGAUCCGUCAUCUCUAAGGACCACCAGUAAGUGCUGUGUAGGCUGUAGUUUUGGAGCCAUUAGAUUGAUGCUUGAUAAUGCGGAGCGUGCCCCUGGACCAGUAUUGUCUUCCCUCUAAGUGGCCUUCCUCCACUGGUUACCCUGAUUUAUUAUAAUACAAUUUUGGGGAUUGUGGGAGUGGCACAGGCCUAUGUGAUAUCAAAAGGCCUUGGGAAAAUGUUCACUGGAUUCCUUGUAUUUUUAAAUAUAAUUUGUAUUUAAUAGCUGUAUUGGUGCAGCAGUC